rnacentral:rRNA from 1 species
UAAGCUCUUUACCUGGGAAGAUAUGACGUACCAGGAGAAUAAGCCCCGGCUAACUUCGUGCCAGCAGCCGCGGUAAUACGAAGGGGGCUAGCGUUGUUCGGAAUCACUGGGCGUAAAGCGCACGUAGGCGGAUCUUUAAGUCAGAGGUGAAAGCCUGGAGCUCAACUCCAGAACUGCCUUUGAUACUGGGGAUCUCGAGUCCGGGAGAGGUGAGUGGAACUGCGAGUGUAGAGGUGAAAUUCGUAGAUAUUCGCAAGAACACCAGUGGCGAAGGCGGCUCACUGGCCCGGUACUGACGCUGAGUGUGCGAAAGCGUGGGGAGCAAACAGGAUUAGAUACCCUGGUAGUCCACGCCGUAAACGAUGGAUGCCAGCCGUUGGACAGCUUGCUGUACAGUGGCGCAGUUAACGCUUUAAGCAUCCCGCCUGCGGAGUACGGUCGCAAGAUUUCACAACUCAAAGGAAUUGAAGGGGGCCGCACAAGCGGUGGAGCCUGUGG